GAUGAUAAUAUUUUAGAUGGUAGUUUGUUUUUGUUUUUUCUCUUUUGUCCGUGCAAAAAUGAAAUGGCAAUUCUAUGUUGGUCCCUAAGUUUUAAAAAUUUUGUCAUUCACUGCAAAUCCAUUCUACCAACUAGUUGUCAAACUCAACCACCACAUAUAAUAUAUUAAGAAACUAAAAAAGUGCCUAAAAAGGUGAUGUAAUUGCUUCAGGUUUUGAGAAUACAUCUGAAACCGGAAGCUUGUUUUGAUAGAUGGGACAAAGAAACAAUUCCCUCAAAGCAAAAGAAUCUGAAGAUAGUAUUUCUAUAGAUGUUAGUAUAGUAUAUCUAUAGAUUUCUAUAGAUAGUAUUUCUAGACAUGUCGAUAUAGACAAUUAACCUAAAAUAUAUUACCAUAAAGUAGAGUAGUGAAAAAAAAAAAAGGUAGAGUAGUGUGAGAAAUGAAAGCAGGGUCCUGGGUUCUAGGCCUUCUUGUGCCUCUAACAAGCUUUACAUUUUAGAAAAACCUUUCAUUUCCCUCAGUCAAUAUUUCCCAUCCGUAGAGGCAAGAGGAUUUUCAAGACCAUUUCCUGCAUAAACAUUAGCUACUGGAGACAGCAUGGUUCAGUGGCAGAAGAUUCAGACUCUAGAGAACACUGUCCAGUUUGCAUCCUGACUGAGGGACCCUGGGUCACAAAUGCAGUUAACACUGGUGAAGAGAGACUGAGAAAAAAGAGGCCAAGAAACCAUCACAUCGGCUACAUGUUCUGAUUUCACAGAGAAGUAGAGUGUCAGACAGGACACAGUCAUAGCUCUAGGGAAAUUGAGGUCUUUAAAAUGAUUAUUUUGAAUUCUAGAUGAUGCCAUUUUGCUUUUCGCAACUCAAUAUUCCAGCCACAGAAUUGUCCCCUUGGAACAUUCUCCUACUUGAAGUUUCCACGGUUUGAAUGAAAGACGUGUAAGAAAUAUUUUCAUAUUGUCUGUCACACUUAAAUUCAAAUGUCAUGUUUAAUGAGCCACAGGCCACUGAUCUAAAGCAGAGAUCAUUAAUUGUUCAAAGCCUAGGGUGAAGUCAGCAUUAGUGUGAUAAUUUGAC
rnacentral:lncRNA from 1 species